rnacentral:tRNA from 1 species
UGUAGCUCAGUGGUAGAGCAUUUUGCCUAGCAUGCAUAAGGUCCUGGGUUUAAUCCUCAGCA